rnacentral:misc_RNA from 1 species
GGAUGGAUCAUUAUUAGCACAAAAAGGGGGAGGGGGGGGAGACAAGCUGGUCCCGGUCCUGGUCCUGGUCCUGGUCAUAGCGAACGAACCUACGAACGAACCUGAGAACGAAAGCAAACGUACACCUUUGUGGUUUAUAGACAUUGUUGUAGUGUGUUGUUGGCGGCCGCGAAUGUGCAGCUCGAAAGAGCAGCGCGGCCGCACCGCCGACGGCAUGCCCCAUACAAACCUAUCGAUACAUACUAGCCUAACGCGUAACCUUGUGGCCUGCCUCGGCGGACACCAAGUAAAACAACCAUAAUCCAAUACAACUGCUAGCAACGGAUCACUCGGCUCUCGCGUCGAUGAAGAACGUAGCGAACUGCGAAAAUUAAUGCGACCCGCAACACGUGAGUCAUCGAGUCUUUGAACGCAUAUUGCACCCGACGGGCUCGCUCGUCGGGUCUGCCUGUCUGAGUAUCAGUACGGACCCAACCGAUGCAAACGGCUUGCGCCUGCCGCGUCGAGUUGGUGGUCGCCGGUGGUGUGCCUCGGCCCCUCCGGUGGAUCUGAGCGUCAGACGGCUGCGUCCGCGCGGCUGCCGGUGGCUUGAAUUGCAUGAGCGCGAUCACGACCGAUCGCCAGUCUAGUUAGCAUUGUUGAUCAUCCUUGCGAUGUUCUUUGCUAGUCGCUAGGCCGGCUGCCCGGCGUGGUGCACCGCGCUGCAAGCGUACACCCUACCUCACUCUACCAUCUUGAUCUCAGAUCAGGCAGGAUGACCCGCUGAACUUAAGCAUAUCAGUAAGCGGAGGAAAAGAAACUAACCAGGAUUCCCUUAGUAACUGCGAGUGAAGCGGGAAUAGCCCAAUUUUAGAAGCUGGUCGGCCCCGGAGCCGGUCCCGCGUUGUAAAUUGAUGGGGCGUCGCCUAGCGCUGAGCCUUCCGGUCAAAGUUCCUUGGAACAGGACGUCAAAGAGGGUGAUAACCCCGUGCGUGGCCGGAUGACAUACCCGCUCAGUGCGCCUAUGGUGCGCUUCCUUAGAGUCGGAAUGUUUGGGAUUGCAUUCCAAAGUGGGUGGUAAACUCCAUCUAAGGCUAAAUACUGGCGAGAGACCGAUAGCGAACAAGUACCGUGAGGGAAAGUUGAAAAGCACUCUGGAGAGAGAGUCAAACAGUACGUGAAAUUGCUAGCAGGGAAACGUUGGGCACCAGUACACGGCGAUCAAUGUCGAUGAUCAGCCGGCGUGUCGCGAGACCACCGCGUGGUGAUUAACAAGCUUUGGAGACCGUCCUUGCGGCGGCUCACGCGGGGUGGAUCGAACGGCGCGCCGGUGCACUCUUCGGCAGCCGGGUCAACAUCGGUUAGCGGCGUCUGAAAGGCCCUGCAGCAAGGUAGCGUCUGUCGGCUUCGGCCGGCCGACGAACUUAUAGGCUGCUUGUGCGAAGAUGUCGUUGACCGAGGCAGCGCAGCGACUCGCGCGUUUCGGCGCAGGGCGCGCAGGCAGGGUCGGGGUUGCCCGUGGUGCUAGGCAGCAUGCUGACUAGUGCUAUUUUGUCGCAUUCGUGCGGCAGCGGUGAUCGCUCUGUCGGCGCAAGCCACUAGCGAGUCAAUGACGGUUGACGAAAUGGUUCUCAACGACCCGUCUUGAAACACGGACCAAGGAGUCUAACAUGUCUGCAAGUGUUUGGGUGGCAAACCCAAGCGCGGAAUGAAAGUGAAGAGGUCGCCUCGCGUGGCCCGCUGGUAGGACUCGCUCGGCCCCGGCCGGGCGAUGCACUACCGACCGACCUGUUGCCCUCUGCGGUGGUAGGUUUGAGUUGGAGCAGUCCUGUUAGGACCCGAAAGAUGGUGAACUAUGCCUGAGCAGGAUGAAGCCAGAGGAAACUCUGGUGGAGGUCCGUAGCGGUUCUGACGUGCAAAUCGAUCGUCGGACUUGGGUAUAGGGGCGAAAGACUAAUCGAACCAUCUAGUAGCUGGUUCCUGC